GACGGAGGAGGCUAGCGUUGUUCGGAAUUACUGGGCGUAAAGCGUACGCAGGUGGCGAAACCAGUCGGAUGUGAAAGCCCGGGGCUCAACCCCGGAUGUGCAUCCGAUACUGUUUUGCUGGAGUCCGGAAGAGGAGAGCGGAAUUCCCAGUGUAGAGGUGAAAUUCGUAGAUAUUGGGAAGAACACCGGUGGCGAAGGCGGCUCUCUGGUCCGGUACUGACACUCAAGUACGAAAGCGUGGGGAGCAAACAGGAUUAGAUACCCUGGUAGUCCACGCCGUAAACGAUGCGCGCUAGAUGUCGGGGGGCUUGCCCUUCGGUGUCGCAGCUAACGCGGUAAGCGCGCCGCCUGGGGAGUACGGCCGCAAGGUUA
rnacentral:rRNA from 1 species